UGACAGUUGUGAUGGGUCGGAGGAGCCAGUUGUGUAAUUUUUGUUUAUUCGAUUUUAUUUGAUAUUAUGUAGAAUUAAUUAGAAAUAAAAUGCUAAAAACAUCCACAAAAUUCGGAAAAUGCUUCAGAUAAUGUAAAUUUAGUAAUUUAGCGACAAAAUUCAUCUCUAAAUUCACAGUUACAACUUCAAGGUUAGAGGAGGAAAAAGAGGAACAAAAUGCUUAAAACUUUGGACACAAUCGCAAACACUCUAUCACCACACAAAGAUUUCCUCGGGAUGGUGGCAGGUUUCAUGACAGUCCUACAAUACAUGUCUGGUUCGUUAGUUUGCUGUGAAAUCAUUAAAAAAAGGAGCACCGAGAAUAUUUCAGCUGUGCCAUUCAUCGGUGGAUUGGUUGUGAGCAUUCUAAGUUUCCAUUACGGCUGGAUACUCCGAGACACAACAACAGUAUACAUAAGUUUAGUAGGAAUGCUUUUCAAUCUGUUUUACCUGAUGAUUUACGCCAGUUUUUUGGACUCCGAACACACAGGCA